AUACUUACCUGGCACAGAAGACAAGGUAAUCACGAAGGCGAGGCUCGCCACUACACUCCGGUGGCUCUGACCAUUGUGAUUAACCCAAAGGUGGUUAACUCGGGUGUUUUUUUUUUUUUUUUUUUUUUUUUUUUAGCGCGGGACUGCGUUCGCGCUGUACCCCU